rnacentral:rRNA from 1 species
AGUGAACGCUGGCGGUAGGCCUAACACAUGCAAGUCGAACGGCAGCACAGUAAGAGCUUGCUCUUACGGGUGGCGAGUGGCGGACGGGUGAGGAAUACAUCGGAAUCUACUUUUUCGUGGGGGAUAACGUAGGGAAACUUACGCUAAUACCGCAUACGACCUACGGGUGAAAGCAGGGGAUCUUCGGACCUUGCGCGAUUGAAUGCGCCGAUGUCGGAUUAGCUAGUUGGCGGGGUAAAGGCCCACCAAGGCGGCGAUCCGUAGCUGGUCUGAGAGGAUGGGCAGCCACACUGGAACUGAGACACGGUCCAGACUCCUACGGGAGGCAGCAGUGGGGAAUAUUGGACAAUGGGCGCAAGCCUGAUCCAGCCAUACCGCGUGGGUGAAGAAGGCCUUCGGGUUGUAAAGCCCUUUUGUUGGGAAAGAAAAGCAGCAGGUUAAUACCCCGCUGUUCUGACGGUACCCAAAGAAUAAGCACCGGCUAACUUCGUG